rnacentral:tmRNA from 1 species
GGCCUUUCAUUUUUCACGAUCGGUCCCUAUAUCUGUUUCGUCGGCUCGACCGACUAUGGCGAUAAACAGGCGAUGAAAUAAGCCGUUCGGACCCGGGGGCGGUACCCGGCGCCUCCACCAAAAACCGCUCUGCGAAGAGCGGCUUUUGCUGGGGGCGAAAUAGGAUCGACGAAGGUGUAAAGAUCGUACUUUUGCCCGGCAUUGUACCACCG